rnacentral:lncRNA from 1 species
AGAAGCAACACUCACCAGCUUAUAUAAGAAACUUCAUGACCAAUAACCCUGAAAAAUUCGAAGGAUACCAUUUUACUUUAUGACCAAGAGAUCGAGUAUCGCCAUUUUUCCCUCUUAAUCAUGCAUGAUGCAAAUGAAAAAGGCUGUAUCCACAUGGCUAGUGUUCUGAGCAUUUAACAUGUGACAACCCGAUUGAAGUAUCCAUGUUCUUAACCGUCCUACAAACAUGUAUCAACAACAACAUACCCAAUGUAAUCCCACAAGUGGGUCUAGGGAGGGUGAGAUAUAAAGAGGUUGUUUCCGAUAAACCCUUGGCUUAACAGAAAUGUUUUUGAAGCAGGAUUGCAAGAAAAAUAUGAGACAAAAGGAUGUAUAAUGAUCAAGGGAAAGUUAAUAAAGGAUAUAAUUGUUCAAUGAAUUACAAUCGACAGAUUUAGCAACUCCCUAAGUCAUUACCUCCUGCUGAAUAGCCCAUUCAAGUUGUUCACCCAUCGUGGUACCAACAUCCCAGACACAGUUUCAGUACAACAACAUAGCCAGACGUAGUUUCAAUCUAUAAUCAAAACAAGAAAAGGCUAAGAAAGUCACCAAAUUCAUUAUAAAAAUUAUUGAGCAUGAUACAUGACAACUUUAUCAGCAAACCAUCCCGCCACGGACCAAUAAAAAUGUUCUGAGCAUUUAGAAAGCCAAAAUCAGAAGACAAUAAAUCCAAUAAGAUUAAUUUACUUGCUACAAAAUCUUUCACUUGGAAAGGCCCCACAUUAAUUUUGCAAAAUUAUGUCACCCUAAGUUACCCCAAUAUCAAAAUAAAGAAAGAAGCCCAGGAAGAGAUUCCUAACCUUGAACAAAUUUAACUUUCUGUAAUAAGCAUCUGAUGUUCCAUCGGCACAAGUAGAUAUGAUAACUUGCAUUAUAUAAUGCUCAAGCCUAUCAGUAGCAGGAAAGAAGGCUAUAGUAUCUUCAGUCAGAUGUUCCCCAUUAUCAGGAAAUGGUCUCUGAAUGAUUUACAUUCACUCAAACCUCCAACAUAUAACAAUGAAUUACUCAAUGAAAAGGAAAGAAACAUAGAUUCAUUUACCUGAAGAAAAAUAAAAGAGCAAUGAAGUGGACCCA